rfam:Triticum aestivum genome assembly, contig: Triticum_aestivum_CS42_TGACv1_scaffold_641246_T_6DL-0.186117_6BS-0.155923
CAGGUACUCCCUCCGUUCGGAAUUACUUGUCUCGAAAAUGGAUGUAUCUAGAACUAAAAUACGUCUAGAUACAUCCAUUUCCGCGACAAGUAAUUCCGAACAGAAGGAGUAAGGA